rnacentral:rRNA from 1 species
GAUGAACGCUGGCGGCGUGCCUAAUACAUGCAAGUCGAGCGAACAGACGAGGAGCUUGCUCCUCUGACGUUAGCGGCGGACGGGUGAGUAACACGUGGAUAACCUACCUAUAAGACUGGGAUAACUUCGGGAAACCGGAGCUAAUACCGGAUAAUAUAUUGAACCGCAUGGUUCAAUAGUGAAAGACGGUUUUGCUGUCACUUAUAGAUGGAUCCGCGCCGCAUUGGCUAGUUGGUCGGGGAACGGCUUACCAAGGCAACGAUGCGUAGCCGACCUGAGAGGGUAUUCAGCCAAAUUGGAGCAGAGACAGGGACCAGACGCCUAGGGGAGGCAGCAGUAGGGACUCUUCGGCAAUAAGCGAGAGCCUGACGGAGCAACGCCGCGUGAGUGAUGAAGGUCUUCGGAUCGUAAAACUCUGUUAUUAGGGAAGACCGAAUGUGUAAUUAACAAGGCGCGGCUUGACGGUACCUGAUCAGAAAGCCACGGCUAACUACGUG